rnacentral:ncRNA from 12 species
GUUAUUUGAGGUGGGAAAGGUUCCCCACGCGCUGCCUUUGCAAUUAUUAUUGCUCGGGUAGUUACCAGAGAUCAGGAGUGCCGCCCUGCUUAAC